GAUGAACGCUGGCGGCGUGCCUAAUACAUGCAAGUCGAGCGAACAGACGAGGAGCUUGCUCCUCUGACGUUAGCGGCGGACGGGUGAGUAACACGUGGAUAACCUACCUAUAAGACUGGGAUAACUUCGGGAAACCGGAGCUAAUACCGGAUAACAUGUUGAACCGCAUGGUUCAACAGUGAAAGACGGUCUUGCUGUCACUUAUAGAUGGAUCCGCGCCGCAUUAGCUAGUUGGUAAGGUAACGGCUUACCAAGGCAACGAUGCGUAGCCGACCUGAGAGGGGGAUCGGCCACACUGGAACUGAGACACGGUCCAGACUCCUACGGGAGGCAGCAGUAGGGAAUCUUCCGCAAUGGGCGAAAGCCUGACGGAGCAACGCCGCGGGAGGGAAGAAGGUCUUCGGAUCGUAAAACUCUGUUAUUAGGGAAGAACAAAUGUGUAAGUAACUAUGCACGUCUUGACGGUACCUAAUCAGAAAGCCACGGCUAACUACGUG
rnacentral:rRNA from 1 species